AUUCUUCCCAUAUGGACUCGCGCUAUUUAGUUACUUGUCAGUAGAUGCAGUACAUGUGCUCUAUUAAUACGGAUUUCCUACUUGCAUCAUAAUUUUAGGAUAUUUUACUUAAUUUUUUAAAAAAUAUCAAUAUGUCUUUACCUUGUGAAGAAGGACAGUUUAGUGAUGCAGACGAAGAUGCUCCAAGAGUUGAGCUGUCAAGGGGAAAACCAGUAUUCGAAUCACAGAUUGCAAAUAAUUUAGAUAGUUUGCAAAUUGAUGAAACGCAUGACAACGAAUCAAGUGAAGAUGAAUUAGAUUAUGAUUGGGAGUACUCAGCAGAGGAUAAUGGACAAAAAAAUAAUUUAAAAAAUUUAAAUAGGCGUACUCCUAAUUCUCAGACUGCUUCUAAUAAGGUAGCAAAUUAUCAACCAACUGAUAAGCUAUUUAGAAGAUAUUCGAACAAAAUCAAUGUUGAACAAUACGAAGGACCAUCUUUACCAGGACAUGCCAAAAACGUUCUUAUUGAAAGUAAUAAACGUGCAGAGAAGGAUCGUAUACGCACGAAAGACAAGCAUGAUCGUGCAACUGUUGAACAAGUCAUGGACCCACGUACUAGAAUGAUCUUGUUCAAACUACUGAACCAAGGUAUCAUAGCUGAAAUCAAUGGUUGCAUAUCAACAGGCAAAGAAGCAAAUGUAUAUCAUGCAACUUCAAAGACUGCUAUUGAAUUUGCAAUAAAAAUCUAUAAAACGUCUAUACUGCAGUUUAAAGAUCGUGACAAAUAUGUAAGUGGAGAAUUUCGUUUUCGUCACGGUUACUGUCGUCAUAAUCCGCGAAAAAUGGUACGCACUUGGGCUGAAAAAGAGAUGAGGAAUUUAAUUCGUCUCGCACAAGGAGGAGUGAGCGCUCCAAAACCAAUUUUAUUACGUAGUCAUGUUCUAUUGAUGGAUUUUAUUGGUACCAACGGUUGGCCAUCUCCAAAAUUAAAAGAUGCUGUGUUGAGCUCAUCUAAACCAAGAAAGCUUUACAGAGAAUGUGUUGAAACUAUGUGGACGCUUUAUAAUAAAUGCAAAUUGGUUCAUGCUGAUCUUAGCGAAUACAACUUAUUGUAUCAUGACGGAUCAAUUGUUGUUAUUGAUGUUUCACAAGCUGUGGAGCAUGAUCACCCUCAUGCUCUUGAAUUUCUCAGAAAAGAUUGCAACAACAUAACAGAAUUUUUCCGUAAAAAUGACGUUGCUGUUAUGACGGUGAAAGAGCUUUUUGAUUUUAUAACUGAUCCUACCGUGACGGAGGAUAAUAUGGAAGAAUAUUUGGAUACAGUAUCCGAAAGAGCAACACAGCGUAUCCAAGAUGGAAUAGAUCCAAAUCAGGAGAUAGAGGAACAAGUUUUUAAACAAGCUUAUAUUCCUCAAAGACUAACAGAGGUUGUCGAUAUAGAGCGUGAUAUAAAAUUGGCAAAAGCUGGUAAAGAAGAUUUAAUAUAUAAAACAUUGGUGGGUUUGAGAGCCGAUCUUUCUAAACCAGCAGAUGUGCCUGAGAUUUUGGCAUCGAAGGAUGAGAAGAAAAAAUUAGAAAAUGAGGAGGAUGACGAAUCAUUAGAAAGUAAUGAAACUUCAGAGAAUGACAGUUCUAAUGACGACAAUGACGAGGAUAACGAGAAUUCAAAAUUUGUUCAUACUGGACGUCCACGAGAUGAAUCACCAGAGAGUAGAAAGGCACGGAAAAAGGUGGUGAAGGAACAAAAAGCUGAAAAAAGGAAACUUAAAAUAAAAAAGCACGUUAAGAAAAGGAAAGAAAGAAUUAUGAAAAAGAAAUAAUAAUCCUAAUCCGAAUUGUAUCAUAGAAAUGAAGGAACGCAAUUGUCAUAUAGUAUAAGAUAAGAUUACUAUGUAGCUGUAAAGGGUAUUCAAUUGCAUCCUUCGUAUCCCCAUUCUUACUACCGCCGCUCCUCCUUGCUCUACUGCCAAUCAACUAAGCAGUGGCGUAAAAGCAAACGCCAAAAAAGAGAAGUUUCGUUAAAAUCCCAAUAUUGGAAUUUUAAUUAAUAAAAUUGGAACUAGCACUAAUACAUUUUUCUAAACAUGUAUUCUGUUUUUGUCAUUAAUAUUACGUUUUCUAUUACGAGACAUCCGUUUUUUCUAACUAUAAAUGACAAAAUUAAUAAUAUUGUUUAUAAAAAUAAUAAUAUAAAUUA